rnacentral:rRNA from 1 species
AGUGAACGCUGGCGGUAUGCCUAACACAUGCAAGUCGAACGGGAGCACAGUAAGAGCUUGCUCUUACGGGUGGCGCGUGUCGGAAGGGUGAGGAAUACAUCGGAAUCUACUUUUUCGUGGGGGAUAACGUAGGGAAACGUACGCUAAUACCGCAUACGACCUACGUGUGAAAGCAGGGGAUCUUCGGGCCUUGUGCGAUUGAAUGAGCCGAUGUCGGAUUAGUUAGUUGGCGGGGUAAAGGCCAACCAAGGCGACGAUCCGUAGCUGGUCUGAGAGGAUGAUUCGCCACACUGGAACUGAGACACGGCCCAGACUCCGACGGUGAGAAGCAGUGCGGAAUAUUGGACAAUGCGGGCAAGCCUGAUCCAGCCAUACCGGGUGGGUGAAGAAGGCCUUAGGGUUCUAAAGCGCUUUAGUUGGGAAAGAAAAGCAGCAGGUUAACCCCCCGCUGUUCUGACGGUACCGAAAGAAUAAGCACCGGCUAACUCCGUG